rnacentral:rRNA from 1 species
GACGAAUGCUGACGGCGUGCCUAAUACAUGCAAGUAGAACGCUGAAGGAGGAGCUUGCUUCUCUGGAUGAGUUGCGAACGGGUGAGUAACGCGUAGGUAACCUGCCUGGUAGCGGGGGAUAACUAUUGGAAACGAUAGCUAAUACCGCAUAAUAUUGACUAUUGCAUGAUAGUCAGUUGAAAGGUGCAACUGCACCACUACCAGAUGGACCUGCGUUGUAUUAGCUAGUUGGUGGGGUAAAGGCCUACCAAGGCGACGAUCCGUAGCGGGUCUGAGAGGAUGAUCCGCCACACUGGGACUGAGACACGGCCCAGACUCCUACGGGAGGCAGCAGUGGGGAAUUUUGGACAAUGGGCGCAAGCCUGAUCCAGCCAUGCCGCGUGUAUGAAGAAGGCCUUAGGGUUGUAAAGUACUUUUGUUAGGGAAGAAAAGGCAUUUGCUAAUAUCAGAUGCUGAUGACGGUACCUAAAGAAUAAGCACCGGCUAACUACGUGCCAGCAGCCGCGGUAAUACGUAGGGUGCGAGCGUUAAUCGGAAUUACUGGGCGUAAAGCGAGCGCAGACGGUUACUUAAGCAGGAUGUGAAAUCCCCGGGCUCAACCUGGGCACUGCGUUCUGAACUGGGUAACUAGAGUGUGUCAGAGGGAGGUAGAAUUCCACGUGUAGCAGUGAAAUGCGUAGAGAUGUGGAGGAAUACCGAUGGCGAAGGCAGCCUCCUGGGAUAACACUGACGUUCAUGCUCGAAAGCGUGGGUAGCAAACAGGAUUAGAUACCCUGGUAGUCCACGCCCUAAACGAUGUCAAUUAGCUGUUGGGGUACUAGAUGCCUUAGUAGCGAAGCUAACGCGUGAAAUUGACCGCCUGGGGAGUACGGUCGCAAGAUUAAAACUCAAAGGAAUUGACGGGGACCCGCACAAGCGGUGGAUGAUGUGGAUUAAUUCGAUGCAACGCGAAGAACCUUACCUGGUCUUGACAUGUACGGAAUCCUCCAGAGACGGAGGAGUGCCUUCGGGAGCCGUAACACAGGUGCUGCAUGGCUGUCGUCAGCUCGUGUCGUGAGAUGUUGGGUUAAGUCCCGCAACGAGCGCAACCCUUGUCAUUAGUUGCCAUCAUUAAGUUGGGCACUCUAAUGAGACUGCCGGUGACAAACCGGAGGAAGGUGGGGAUGACGUCAAGUCCUCAUGGCCCUUAUGACCAGGGCUUCACACGUCAUACAAUGGUCGGUACAGAGGGUAGCCAAGCCGCGAGGUGGAGCCAAUCCCAAAAAACCGAUCGUAGUCCGGAUUGCACUCUGCAACUCGAGUGCAUGAAGUCGGAAUCGCUAGUAAUCGCAGGUCAGCAUACCGCGGUGAAUACGUUCCCGGGUCU